rnacentral:tRNA from 1 species
GCGAGUUUCCCACAGUCUGGUCAAUUGGGCUCGGUUAAGGGCCGAGUGCGUUUACGCUUCGUGGGUUCAAAUCCCACAGCUCGCA